UACGGAGGGUGCAAACGUUGCUCGGAAUCAUUGGGCGUAAAGCGCACGUAGGCGGCCUAUUAAGUCGGGUGUGAAAGCCCUCGGCUCAACUGAGGAAGUGCAUUCGAUACUGAUAGGCUUGAAUAUGGAAGAGGGUCGCGGAAUUCCCGGUGUAGAGGUGAAAUUCGUAGAUAGUCGGGAGGAACACCAGUGGCGAAGGCGGCUUACUGGUCCGGUACUGACGCUGAGGUGGCGAAAGCGUGGGGAGCAAACAGGG
rnacentral:rRNA from 1 species